rnacentral:rRNA from 1 species
AUUGAACGCUGGCGGCAGGCUUAACACAUGCAAGUCGAGCGGGGAAGAGUAGCUUGCUACUUAACCUAGCGGCGGACGGGCGAGUAAUGCUUAGGAAUCUGCCUAUUAGUGGGGGACAACAUCUCGAAAGGGAUGCUAAUACCGCAUACGUCCUACGGGAGAAAGCAGGGGACCUUCGGGCCUUGCGCUAAUAGAUGAGCCUAAGUCGGAUUAGCUAGUUGGUGGGGUAAAGGCCUACCAAGGCGACGAUCUGUAGCGGGUCUGAGAGGAUGAUCCGCAACACUGGGACUGAGACACGGCCCAGACUCCUACGGGAGGCAGCAGUGGGGAAUAUUGGACAAUGGGGGGAACCCUGAUCCAGCCAUGCCGCGUGUGUGAAGAAGGCCUUUUGGUUGUAAAGCACUUUAAGCGAGGAGGAGGCUACCGAGAUUAAUACUCUUGGAUAGUGGACGUUACUCGCAGAAUAAGCACUGGCUAACUCUGUGCCAGCAGCCGCGGUAAAAC